rnacentral:lncRNA from 1 species
UUUAUGUGACUGAACUCGAAAAAUUGAACAUUCGAGCUGCCUACGUACUCCUCCAAAGAAGAGAUCAAGUCGUAACGUAGUUCAAAUACAUACAUAUAUUUUUUUUUUUUUUGGUAUUUUCUUUUUUUGUGCCGUUUGUAGUUUUACCUCAUGCAAGCAAUGAGCUUUUGUUGUCGCCUUUUAUGCUCGUGCGGACUAGGAGCGUUGGUGUUGCCUUUUAUGCUCAUGCAGACCAGGAGCGUUGUGCCAUGCAGUUUAGGCUCGUGCAGGCAAGGAGCUUUGGUUCGUGCAGUUUAGGCUCGUGCGAACAAGGAGCUUAGUGCCAUGCAGUUUAGGCUCAUGCAGGCGAGGAGCCUCGUGUCCUACAGUUUAGGCUCGUGCGGACAAGGAGCUUUGGUUUGUGCAGUUUAGGCUCGUGCGAACAAGGAGCAUUGUGAAUUUGUUAAACGAUCCU